GCCAGAGGCUCCAAUAUCCAAUCUCUGUCUCAAAUGAUAAAUGACAUUUGUCAGUUGACAAAGCGAAUGGCCUCAACCAUUUGAGGACAUGGUCCCGCUGUGCACAACGCUCCUGUUGAACCAGCCAAGAGCACCUUGAGGUGUGGAGGCCCAGACACUGGGCUGGUGCUGAGAGGCUGCAGCAGGAGGAUGGAUAUUAGGGAUGCUGGAUGGAGCCCCAGAUUGGACAGGGGUGCGUGAGGGCUCUAAACGGUGGAUUCUACUGGGAAGCCGGUGGUGACAGGGUGAGAGCCAAGGCUCAAUGACCCAGCCAUGUGUUCUAAGGCAUGGGAGGAUGACUUAAAUCCAGGUAACAGUAAUGGGAUCCAGAAACAACAGAAAAGUUAUGGCCCAUACAUCUUCAAUUGCAAUUACAGGUAAGGAAACAAUAUGCAAAUAUUCUAACGGGCUCAAGGUUAAACUGGCAGUCAGCUGCUGAGCCAGCCGAGCAUGGUGUUCUGACACCCAGGAUGAGGUGAAAAUGAGCUUUUCUGAAAAGGAGAGGGGCCCGCAGGAAUACACACU
rnacentral:lncRNA from 1 species